GGAUCCGUGGUGUAGGGGUUAACAUGCCUGCCUGUCACGCAGGAGAUCGUCGGUUCAAUCCGAUCGGAUCCGCCA
rnacentral:tRNA from 1 species